GAUGAACACUGGCGGCGUGCCUAAUACAUGCAAGUCGAGCGAACAGACGAGGAGCUUGCUCCUCUGACGUUAGCGGCGGACGGGUGAGUAACACGUGGAUAACCUACCUAUAAGACUGGGAUAACUUCGGGAAACCGGAGCUAAUACCGGAUAAUAUAUUGAACCGCAUGGUUCAAUAGUGAAAGACGGUUUUGCUGUCACUUAUAGAUGGAUCCGCGCCGCAUUAGCUAGUUGGUAAGGUAACGGCUUACCAAGGCGACGAUGCGUAGCCGACCUGAGAGGGUGAUCGGCCACACUGGAACUGAGACACGGUCCAGACUCCUACGGGAGGCAGCAGUAGGGAAUCUUCCGCAAUGGGCGAAAGCCUGACGGAGCAACGCCGCGUGAGUGAUGAAGGUCUUCGGGUCGUAAAGCUCUGUUAUUGGGGAAGAACAAAUGUGUAAGUAAAUAUGCACGUCUUGACGGUACCUAAUCAGAAAGCCCCGGCUAACUACGUG
rnacentral:rRNA from 1 species